UAAACAAUGAAAUAACGCACGUUUAUGCCUAGAAACAACAUCUGCCCAAACUUGAACCGUGAUUACUUCUUGACUUAGAAUUUGGGGUUGGGCCGGGCGCGGUGGCUCAAGCCUGUAAUCCC